rnacentral:rRNA from 1 species
CCCCAGUAAACGGCGGCCGUAACUAUAACGGUCCUAAGGUAGCGAAAUUCCUUGUCGGGUAAGUUCCGACCCGCACGAAAGGCGUAACGAUUUGGGCACUGUCUCAACAACAGACUCGGUGAAAUUGUAAUUCCGGUGAAGAUGCCGGAUACCUGCGACAGGACGGAAAGACCCCAUGGAGCUUUACUGUAGCUUGACAUUGGGUCUUGGUACUACAUGUACAGGAUAGGUGGGAGGCUUUGAAACCAGGACGCCAGUUUUGGCGGAGCCAUCCUUGGGAUACCACCCUUGUAGUACUGGGACUCUAACCAUAGGCCAUGAAUCUGGUCUUGGGACACUGUCAGGUGGGCAGUUUGACUGGGGCGGUCGCCUCCCAAAAGGUAACGGAGGCGCUCAAAGGUUCUCUCAGUACGGUCGGAAAUCGUACGUAGAGUGUAAAGGCAAAAGAGAGCUUGAUUGCAAGACAUACAGGUCGAGCAAGGAUGAAAAUCGGACUUAGUGAUCCGGUGGUUCUGCGUGGAAGGGCCAUCGCUCAACGGAUAAAAGCUACCCUGGGGAUAACAGGCUUAUCUCCCCCAAGAGUCCACAUCGACGGGGAGGUUUGGCACCUCGAUGUCGGCUCAUCACAUCCUGGGGCUGUAGUAGGUCCCAAGGGUUGGGCUGUUCGCCCAUUAAAGUGGUACGCGAGCUGGGUUCAGAACGUCGUGAGACAGUUCGGUCCCUAUCCGUCGCAGGCGUAGGAAAUUUGAGAAGACCUGUCCUUAGUACGAGAGGACCGGGAUGGACGUACCUCUGGUGUACCAGUUGUCCUGCCAAGGGCAUGGCUGGGUAGCUAUGUACGGAAUGGAUAAGCGCUGAAAGCAUCUAAGCGCGAAGCCAACUUCAAGAUAAGAUUUCCCACCGCAAGGGUAAGACCCCAGAAAGACUAUCUGGUUGAUAGGUCGAAGGUGUAAGUGCAGCAAUGUAUUUAGCUUAUCGAUACUAAUAG